GAAGGAUUAUUCUAAUAGCUGGAUGUUAAUUUUGUAUACUAUAUGUCUCCAGACACUUAUAGAGGGAGCGAUGAUUGGGCAUACCACCAAGGGAAUGCAACUUGCACAAGAUACACUGGUAAAAAUGAUUGAGAGGGACUUUUUCUUGAGCCCAAAAAUGGGGAGUGACCUUCUCCUUAUAGCCUCUGGCGAAAAGACUGGUGGAUAUACUACUGCUAACUAUAUUUAGGACUUGAUGCAAGCUCGGAAGAUUACUCCUUCACUUCUUGCUGUGGAAGCAUAUUACAAUGGCUUAAAAGGAUGCGAGAUCCUAGAAGAUGAUCCAUGGCUCCUACAAGUUUCAUGGACUUAUGAUAGCCUUCGCACCAGAUUUGGAACAGGACCUGGCUGACCCUAUUAGGUGUCAACUUUGUCUUUUGUUGGCUAUUAAGCGAGGUUUAAUAUUUAGAACUUAGAAUUAAUAAAAAAAUUGGAAUUAUCAGAGGGAUUUGAUAUGGAUUAGAAUGAUCAAAGUGUACAACUUGCCCCAAGAAAGAAAGUGCUAAAUUUUGUAAUUUUCAUCGACUCAAUAAAAAUAGGUUUGUAUUCAUAAAACACUUGUAUAUUUUUCUCUUGCUAAUUCAGAUUUAGUUUUUAGUUUU